rnacentral:rRNA from 1 species
CCUACGGGUGGCAGCAGUGGGGGAUAUUGCACAAUGGGGGAAACCCUGAUGCAGCGACGCCGCGUGGGUGAAGAAGCGCCUCGGCGCGUAAAGCCCUGUCAGCAGGGAAGAAAAUGACGGUACCUGAAGAAGAAGCACCGGCUAACUGCGUCACAGCAGCCGCGGUAAUACGUAGGGCGCAAGCGUUAUCCGGAUUUACUGGGUGGAAGGGGGGCGCAGACGGCGAUGCAAGCCAGGAGGGAAAGCCCGGAGCCCAACCCCGGGACUGCUUUUGGAACUGUGUGGCUAGGGUGCAGGAGGGGCAGGCGGAAUGUCUGGUGUAGCGGUGAAAUGCGUAGAGAUCAGGAGGAACACCGAUGGCGAAGGCAGCAUAC